rnacentral:rRNA from 1 species
CAGCCGCCACGGGAAUACAGAGGGUGCGAGCGUUAAUCGGAUUUACUGGGCGUAAAGCGUGCGUAGGCGGCUAAUUGAGUCGGAUGUGAAAUCCCCGAGCUUAACUUGGGAAUUGCAUUCGAUACUGGUUAGCUAGAGUGUGGGAGAGGAUGGUAGAAUUCCAGGUGUAGCGGUGAAAUGCGUAGAGAUCUGGAGGAAUACCGAUGGCGAAGGCAGCCAUCUGGCCUAACACUGACGCUGAGGUACGAAAGCAUGGGGAGCAAACAGGAUUAGACCCCCGUAGUCCCUGUCUCUUAUACAC